rnacentral:rRNA from 1 species
UACGUAGGUGACCAGCGUUGUCCGGAUUUACUGGGCGUAAAGAGCGCGCAGGCGGUCGUUCAAGUCGAGUGUGAAAGCCCCCGGCUCAACUGGGGAGGAUCACGCGAUACUGCUCGACUCGAAGGCAGGAGAGGGAAGUGGAAUUCCCGGUGUAGUGGUGAAAUGCGUAGAUAUCGGGAGGAACACCAGUGGCGAAGGCGACUUCCUGGCCUGUUCUUGACGCUGAGGCGCGAAAGCUAGGGUAGCAAACGGG